CCUGCAUGGGCGAUACAGUCUCGCCCCAACCUCUCUAAGAGCCCCCGCUUCCCCGUUCUCUAUGUUAAGGCCUUGGAGCCUUCCCCAACUACUCGGACCUAUUUCCUCAAGGCUGCAAGCCCCAUGCCGCCUCACCGCGGGUCCUCGAACUCAACGAAGGCGAAGGGCGGUCCCCCGCGGCGAUUCUUGAGGUCGAUGUCGCGGAUAGCGCCGUAUUUGUAGAACACGUCCUCAAUGUCCUUGGUUCGGAUGUCUGGAGGGCGCACGCACGCGCGACGUCACCCUCCCCACGAAGGGGGUAAAAAAGUCCCCCGCGUUCCCAGCUUGGGGUGGUUUGCGAACAGAGUGACCAGCCGUUUGGUAAAAGUUAAAUAACGAACUUUCGUUAAAGGAGCUAGUCAUCCAGGUCGGGUCUUGAAGGAUGGUCGAUUUCUCCAGGAAUGAGGAUCUUUGAAAGCAACUCGGCGCCUUCAAAGCACUUGGUGAAACCUAGCCUAAAGCGUUGUCCCACCAUGCUCUGCGGCGAUAACGGCCUUUGGCGGGAAAGAGUCUCGGAGGCGGGGCCAAAGGGGGACGGCCCGGGCGGUUGCUCCGGAAACCCGGGUAUCUUCGUAGGGUGUUUCUGUCAUGGGUAAUAUAUUAUUAGUUGUCAACAUAAAUAAUGAACCUUUUCAAGCGAUAGGUUGCUAACACGUGUUUCAUCAGCCACUACUACAGUUCAGUGAUAAGGUACUGAGAGCUGGUGGAAAGAAAUUCUCCUGCCCAUCUGCCCAGCCUAGAAGAGGAGGAGCUGCUGGAGGAUAUGUUCCACCAAAAUAAAGAAACAAACCAUGAAAAAGGAAGACAUUGGAUGCAGGGAACAAGAGGUUUACAGAGAGAGACAAAGGAAUUUUCAGCAUGAUAUCAAGGAACAGAUCCAGG
rnacentral:lncRNA from 10 species